GAUGAACGCUGGCGGCGUGCCUAAUACAUGCAAGUCGAACGAAACUUCUUUAUCACCGAGUGCUUGCACUCACCGAUAAAGAGUUGAGUGGCGAACGGGUGAGUAACACGUGGGCAACCCGCCCAAAAGAGGGGGAUAACACUUGGAAACAGGUGCUAAUACCGCAUAACCAUAGUUACCGCAUGGUAACUAUGUAAAAGGUGGCUAUACUACCGCUUUUGGAUGGGUCCGCGGCGCAUUAGCUAGUUGGUAGGGUAAAGGCUUACCAAGGCAAUGAUGCGUAGCCGAAUUGAGAGGUUGAUCGGCCACAUUGGGACUGAGACACGGCCCAAACUCCUACGGGAGGCAGCAGUAGGGAAUCUUCCACAAUGGGCGAAAGCCUGAUGGAGCAACGCCGCGUGGGUGAAGAAGGUCUUCGGAUCGUAAAACCCUGUUGUUAGAGAAGAAAGUGCGUGAGAGUAACUGUUCACGUUUCGACGGUAUCUAACCAGAAAGCCACGGCUAACUACGUG
rnacentral:rRNA from 1 species